CACUGAAUAACUGCACUACAUAUGUUUCACAUAUAUUCUUGUUCAAGCAGUAAUUAUACCGUUCAGGAUAAAUCUAUUUAUUAUUUAGUGGUGAAACUAUAGUACUGUAAAAUUGCCAUUCAUUACAUUAAAUUAUAGAAAAACCAUUGCAAGACUGUUUAUUAUUCAGUUUAUUAUUAAUGCUUUACUGUUUAUUUCUCUUUGUGAAAAGGGUAAGAAAAAGAUUAAAGGGUAAAUAUUACAAUAAAAUUCAUAUACAUAAGCAGCGAUUUCAGUAACUACUAACUGACCUACUAACUACUAAAGGCUUAGUGGCUAAUUAAUGUACAUUAGUGAUAAAUUGGUAUUAAUCUCACUUCUCAGUCUCAUUUGCAUCAUUCCAUUAAAUGUAGAGGUCUGACAAGAGAAGGGCUUUCAUGUUUAACUCAUACGAAAUACUAAAAUACUCAUAUAAAAUUGCUAUGUUUUCCUGUGAGAUAAGGUUGGACAGUUUUAUUCAUAAUCCAUCAAUUUCAGACAAACCAGCAAACGAUUAAAUAAUAUCUACAUCUACAGAAUUAAGUCACCAAUGAUUUUUAGGACAUAGCUCUUUAGAACUAGCCUGAAUAGGUAAAGGCAAAUUUUCAGAGUGAAUUUAUUCAUUUAAUUGUUCUUCCCUUAUUUUCCCAACAUAUUGCAUGUCUCUCAAUUAUAUAGGCAACAGUGUGAAUAUGUUUAGUUUUUAGUCACUAAUACUAUGUCAAUAAGUUAUAUGCAAAAGUAAAAUCAUGAGUGUUCAUAUAUAUAUAUAUAUAUAUAUAUAUACAUAGUAUAUUCUUUUUUUUUUUUUUUGUGUGUGUUUGUUUUUCUCACAACGGGUUCAGCAAUGUGUCAGGAGGUGGAGCUCUAAGGUUGGUUUGACUUAUUUUCUAAUGUGGAUUCACAUCGUCACUGUCAGAGAGCCAACCAACAUGUGCCUUGCUGUCUUUCUCAUUUUAGUUCUUCAUACAGGGAAAAUCCUGACAAACAUGAUAACAUCCCAUGACUCACAAAAACAAGUUUUAGAAGGUAAAAAUGUAACACUCACAUGUAACUACAGUGGAGUACCUGAUAAUCUCCACUGGUACCGUCAAUAUCCCGGAUCUGUGCCAAAGUUCCUCCUCUACAUCUAUGAAAGUGGGAUAAAGAGUGACAACAUACCAAAGCGUUUAACACCAAGAAUUACAAAGAACACAAAACAAGUGGACCUGGAGAUCUCUUCUGCUGCAGUGACAGACUCUGCUGUGUAUUACUGCGCUCUGAGGCCCACAGUGACAGGAAACAAAGCUAUGCUGUACGAAAACACCAACAUGAGUGGAGCACUGUGAAUAUACACAAACAUAUACGCUUUGCAGCUGUUUAAUACAUGACAAUUUGAUUUAUAUACACACUAACCCAUGUGCUGAAUCAGUUCAGAUGAUGUGUGUGUGUGUGUGUGUGUGUGAAGAUGUGUUAUCACUGUGCUUUGAUGUUACAGAAUAAUUCAUUUCUAGCACAGUUCUAGUAUAAACUGAUAUGCAUUUCUUUCUGUAUUAAUGUGUUACCAUUGAAUUACAGAGGAAUCACUAAACCUGACGUAGGUACCAGUCAAAUUAGGACAUAAUGAGUCUGUGGUUACACCUGCAGCUGUCUGAAACUAAAAUAGACAUGUACGUUAAAGCUAUACAUCCACUUUUUUUUUUGUCAAAAGGGAAAACACACAGAAAUGGCUACACACGCACUUCAAAAAUUAAACACUGAAAUUAAAUCGAUAUAAAACAUCUAUAUAGAAUAUUUUAAAAAGUACGCUUAAUUGAUAACAAAAAAAACAAAAUUUAAAAUGUAAAAUUCAGCAAUUAUUUUACAACAUGUACUUCCACCCAAAAUCAUUCAUUUUCUGAAACAUUUAAACCUUAGACAAUAACAUAUGUGAACUGUUUUUAUUAAGGUAAUUAUGGACAUUAUCGAUAAAAGUGGACAUUUCCAGUAAAGCAAGAAGAAAAUGCAAUGCACUGCAGAAUCUUCUUGCAGAUUUUUUUUAGACUGUGGGUGGAGCUUUGAGACAGAGUCAUGAAAGCAUUUCAUUUCAGUUUUAUUAACGGUGCAGUCAUGACGUUCCUGUGUAUUCUAAGUCUGCUGUUAGUAAUACAGGGUAAGUAAAAGUUUAUACGUAUACACAUAUGUGUCUGUGUGUGUAGUAAAAAUUUAACUGUGUCCUAUGGUGCGACAGAAAAAAAAAUGUAGAAAACAUACAAAUAACAUGAGAAAAAUGUGUCUUCUACUUCUUUACAAGUGUAGAGAGGUUUAUGUUCAACGUUAGAGGGUUUUUUGUUUUUACAUUUUUGCUGUCACUCCAUAGGACAAAUUGAUAGGCCAAC